UCCUACGGGAAGCAGCAGUGGGGAAUAUUGCACAAUGGGCGCAAGCCUGAUGCAGCCAUGCCGCGUGUAUGAAGAAGGCCUUCGGGUUGUAAAGUACUUUCAGCAGUGAGGAAGGCGGAGUCGUUAAUAGCGGCCUCGUUUGACGUUAGCUGCAGAAGAAGCACCGGCUAACUCCGUGCCAGCAGCCGCGGUAAUACGGAGGGUGCGAGCGUUAAUCGGAAUUACUGGGCGUAAAGCGCAUGCAGGUGGUUUGUUAAGUCAGAUGUGAAAGCCCGGGGCUCAACCUCGGAAUUGCAUUUGAAACUGGCAGACUAGAGUACUGUAGAGGGGGGUAGAAUUUCAGGUGUAGCGGUGAAAUGCGUAGAGAUCUGAAGGAAUACCGGUGGCGAAGGCGGCCCCCUGGACAGAUACUGACACUCAGAUGCGAAAGCGUGGGGAGCAAACAGGAUUAGAUACCCUGGUAGUCCACGCCGUAAACGAUGUCAACUCAAGGUUGUGGCCUUGAGCCGUGGCUUUCGGAGCUAACGCGUUAAGUAGACCGCCUGGGAGACGGAU
rnacentral:rRNA from 1 species